rnacentral:rRNA from 1 species
UACGUAGGGGGCAAGCGUUGUCCGGAUUUAUUGGGCGUAAAGAGCGUGUAGGCGGCCUGAAAGGUCAGCUGUGAAAACUCGAGGCUCAACCUCGAGACGUCGGUUGAAACCAUCUGGCUAGAGUCCGGAAGAGGAGAGUGGAAUUCCCGGUGUAGCGGUGAAAUGCGCAGAUAUCGGGAAGAACACCCGUGGCGAAGGCGGCUCACUGGCUCGUAACUGACGCUCAUGCACGACAGCGUGGGGAUCAAACAGG